UACGUAGGGUGCGAGCGUUGUCCGGAAUUAUUGGGCGUAAAGAGCUCGUAGGCGGUUUGUCGCGUCUGCUGUGAAAUCCCGAGGCUCAACCUCGGGCUUGCAGUGGGUACGGGCAGACUAGAGUGUGGUAGGGGAGACUGGAAUUCCUGGUGUAGCGGUGAAAUGCGCAGAUAUCAGGAGGAACACCGAUGGCGAAGGCAGGUCUCUGGGCCACUACUGACGCUGAGAAGCGAAAGCAUGGGGAGCGAACAGG
rnacentral:rRNA from 1 species